rnacentral:rRNA from 1 species
UACAGAGGUCCCAAGCGUUGUUCGGAUUCACUGGGCGUAAAGGGUGCGUAGGUGGUAAGGCAAGUCAGGUGUGAAAUCUCCGGGCUCAACCCGGAAAUGGCAUUCGAAACUACCUUGCUAGAGGGUUUGAGGGGGGACUGGAAUACUUGGUGUAGCAGUGAAAUGCGUAGAUAUCAAGUGGAACACCAGUGGCGAAGGCGAGUCCCUGGAAAACUCCUGACACUGAGGCACGAAAGCUAGGGGAGCAAACGGG